rnacentral:snRNA from 1 species
GACCUGACGCCAGUGGCACUAUCAUAGCCAAUGAGGUUUAUCCGAGGCUCGAUUAUUGCUAAUUGAAAAUUCCUAAAAGAAUAUAGGCUGGGCUGUCUUUAACAUUGACCAGACAUGCCCAGGAAUUGAGCCCAGACAAGGA